rnacentral:rRNA from 1 species
ACGGGAGGCAGCAGUGGGGAAUAUUGGACAAUGGGGGAAACCCUGAUCCAGCGACGCUGCGUGAGUGAAGAAGUAUUUCGGUAUGUGAAGCUCUAUCAGCAAGGAAGAAAAUGACGGUACUUGACUAAGAAGCCCCGGCUAACUACGUGCCAGCAGCCGCGGUAAUACGUAGGGGGCAAGCGUUAUCCGGAUUUACUGGGUGUAAAGGGAGCGUAGACGGCAAUGUAAGUCUGAAGUGAAAGCCCCGGGCUCAACCCGGGAACUGCUUUGGAAACUGUAUAGCUAGAGUGCAGGAGAGGUAAGUGGAAUUCCUAGUGUAGCGGUGAAAUGCGUAGAUAUUAGGAGGAACACCAGUGGCGAAGGCGGCUUACUGGACUGUAACUGACGUUGAGGCUCGAAAGCGUGGGAGCAAACAGGAUUAGAUACCCUGGUA